CAGCCGCCGCGGUAAUACGUAGGGUGCGAGCGUUAAUCGGAAUUACUGGGCGUAAAGCGUGCGCAGGCGGUUUUGUAAGACAGGCGUGAAAUCCCCGGGCUCAACCUGGGAAUGGCGCUUGUGACUGCAAAGCUAGAGUGCGGCAGAGGGGGAUGGAAUUCCGCGUGUAGCAGUGAAAUGCGUAGAUAUGCGGAGGAACACCGAUGGCGAAGGCAAUCCCCUGGGCCUGCACUGACGCUCAUGCACGAAAGCGUGGGGAGCAAACAGGAUUAGAUACCCCUGUAGUCCCUGUCUCUUAUAC
rnacentral:rRNA from 1 species